AUACAACAGACCAACAAAUAACAUAACAAAGAAAAAUGUUAUCUCUCUGUGAAGGCAGCCAAGCAAAAGUGGGAUAAUUCUCUUAUCAUCAGAGGGUUUGUUACCAAGGCUGAAAAGCUUGGGAACCAAGAAGAGGACUUUCACCUUGUAAGGUACUUCUCUUGUUUGGGAACCUCGGGGAAUAGAAGGUACUGGAUGUAGCUGCUUCACUGCCUAGCGGGGCACUCGUCCGGGAAGCCGCUGCAUGUUCCAGCAGACAUGACCAGGCCCCGAUUCACAGCCAGACCUUGUAUGCAGCUUCUCGCUCUUUCGGCUUUUCUGAAUCCGCCUUUUUUUUCACUCCUUCGUUCUGCUUUUGCACCUACGUCUGUCCCAAAAUAAAAUCU